rnacentral:rRNA from 1 species
UACGUAGGGGGCAAGCGUUGUCCGGAAUCAUUGGGCGUAAAGCGCGUGUAGGCGGUCCGGUAAGUCCGCUGUGAAAGUCGGGGGCUCAACCCUCGGAUGCCGGUGGAUACUGUCGGGCUUGAGUACGGAAGAGGCGAGUGGAAUUCCUGGUGUAGCGGUGAAAUGCGCAGAUAUCAGGAGGAACACCAAUUGCGAAGGUAGCUCGCUGGGACGUUACUGACGCUGAGACGCGAAAGCGUGGGGAGCAAACAGG